rnacentral:rRNA from 1 species
UACGGAGGGUGCAAGCGUUAUCCGGAUUCACUGGGUUUAAAGGGUGCGUAGGCGGGCAGGUAGGUCAGUGGUGAAAUCUCCGAGCUUAACUCGGAAACUGCCGUUGAUACUAUUUGUCUUGAAUAUUGUGGAGGUAAGCGGAAUAUGUCAUGUAGCGGUGAAAUGCUUAGAUAUGACAUAGAACACCAAUUGCGAAGGCAGCUUACUACACAACGAUUGACGCUGAGGCACGAAAGCGUGGGGAUCAAACAGG